rnacentral:rRNA from 1 species
UACAGAGACUGCGAGCGUUAUUCGGAUUCACUGGGCGUAAAGGGUGCGCAGGCGGCCGUGUGUGUGAGGCGUGAAAGCCCGGGGCUUAACCCCGGAAUUGCACCUCAAACUACACGGCUAGAGCAUUGGAGAGGGUAGCGGAAUUCACGGUGUAGCAGUGAAAUGCUUAGAUAUCGUCAAGAACACCUAUUGCGAAGGCAGCUAACUAAGCUCAAACUGACGCUGAGGCACGAAAGUGUGGGGAUCAAACAGG